UUGAGGCCGGAUGUUUCUAAUUUUUGUGAGAAUUUGUAGGAUUUCUCUAGACUGUCCACCUAGAAUCCUAGGUGGCUUCACCUAGAGGUUUCAAAAGGAGUCUCCAAUUAGUAAUAGUAAGAUGCUAGUAGCUACCUGAAUCCUUGUACCUCUCCUCCAUUCUUUAUCAUCAGUGAUAUCACUAAUUUAAUGCCACAUAUAUAAACCAGCCCACUUUUUAAUUAAAUAGAGGAUCUAAUAAUCAAAUAGCAAAUGAGAUUGAUUGAAUAGUCGCUUGAUUGGUGCGUGUACAUACAACAUUAGAUUCUUUGUCCCUUUCUACUACCGCCAAAAGUUGGGUGUACUCUUAAUAUCCCAUAAUGCCAGUCCUACUCCGUGGCAUGUGAAGGAGAUCCGUGACAGAUUGGUAGCGUAUAGAUAAAAUAAAGAUUAUAAAUAUGGAGAGGAGAUCAUCAGUCGAAACACUGAUUGAUGAUUGUGGCAACGGUAGCUCACGUACAGCAUACAGCUACGAACACUCCUUGCAAUUAUUUGUAGCGUCUUAAUGGUCGUCCAAGUCAAGUUAAUGAUCAUGCAUGAGAGUACUUUUCGCAAUUGUCCAGUCUCUAUCUUCGUCGAGAGGUCAAAAUGGGCACAUAAUUCUAAUGGUUCCAGUUACUUCAUUCUUUCCUAAAUCAUGAAUUCCAUGGGUUGCAUUCUUCAUGAAUUCCAUGGGUUGCAUUUCUUCAUGAAUUCUAAUAGUAUUCUUGAGUUCGUUCAAAAAAUAGUAUUCUUGCAAAUAUUUUUUUAUAUUUCUAAUGGAGUUUAUAUGUUUCCUAUGGAACUCUUGCAUUUUGAACUGACCCUAGGUAAUCUAGGAGAUUAAAGUUGUAGAGUCACAGAUAUAUCAUCAGUAGAAAUCUCAUGUACACGAAGAAAUUUUGUGGUAACGGUAGCUCACGUACUGCAUACGGCUACUACCUACUUGCAAUUAUUUGCAGUGUCUCAGAAAAAUACAUGAGAAUAUUGCUGUUACACGGUACCUUUUGCAAUGUCUAGACUAGAGAAAAGAUUUCCGCGGUAAUUUAAUACCAUCAGUACCUAUUUCAUAUGCUUGAAGGCAGGUUAAUUUGUUGGAGGCACUGCUUCAUUCAACUUUCUUCUUCUUCUUCUUCCAAAUGACACCAUUAGCUGAUUAGCAUAUUGUUGUAAGUUGUUAAAUUGAACUUUACGGCCAUUUCUACGGUGAAAAGACGUUGUAUGUGGCCGGCCACUUGAGAGUUUGAUGUUGCUUUCGUCGUGACACGAAAGUCCAGCUUACACACUGUAAUUUGAGCAUGCAUUGCUAUGUCGUAUGCUUGACCUUCGCU